CCAAUAGCGUAUAUUAAAGUUGGUGUUGCGGGGAAACAGGACUGUUACUUUGAAAAAAUUAAAGUGUUUAAAGCAGGCUAACGCUUGAAUACAUUAGCAUGGAAUAAUGAAAUAGGACGAUCGAUCCUAUUUUGUUGGUUUCUAGGGUUGACGUAAUGAUUAAUAGGGAUAGUUGGGGGCAUUAGUAUUCAAUUGUCAGAGGUGAAAUUCUUGGAUUUAUUGAAGACUAACUACUGCGAAAGCAUUUGCCAAGGAUGUUUUCAUUAAUCAAGAACGAAAGUUAGGGGAUCGAAGACGAUCAGAUACCGUCGUAGUCUUAACCAUAAACUAUGCCGACUAGGGAUCGGAUGAUGUUAAUUUUUUAAUGACUCAUUCGGCGCCUUACG
rnacentral:rRNA from 1 species